AUUGUCCUGGGGUGUUGGCGAGACGGUAAAGUCCUCGAGCCGAUUUCAACACCUAGGAGGUCACUAGCUGAAGACAGUGUGCACACCCGUUCUGCGGGGAGCCUAAAUCUACACAGAGACCCCCACCUUGAACCUUUGGGUUCAAGGACACUACCAGCAGCCGCGCCUUGGGAUACUU
rnacentral:other from 1 species